GACGAACGCUGGCGGCGUGCCUAAUACAUGCAAGUAGAACGCUGAAGUAGGAGCUUGCUUCUCUGGAUGAGUUGCGAACGGUUGAGUAACGCGUAGGUAACCUGCCUUGUAGCGGGGGAUAACUAUUGGAAACUAUAGCUAAUACCGCAUAAUAGUAGAUGUUGUAUGACAUUUGCUUAAAAGUUACAAUUGCAUCACUUCCAGAUACACCUGCGUUGUAUUAGCUAGUAGGUGGGGUAACGGCUUACCAAGGCGACGAUACAUAGCCGACCUGAGAGGGUGAUCGGCCACACUGGGACUGAGACACGGCCCAGACUCCUACGGGAGGCAGCAGUAGGGAAUCUUCGGCAAUAGACGGAAGUCUGACCGAGCAACGCCGCGUGAGUGAAGAAGGUUUUCGGAUCGUAAAGCUCUGUUGUAAGAGAAGAACGAGUGUGAGAGUGGAAAGUUCACACUGUGACGGUAUCUUACCAGAAAGGGACGGCUAACUACGUG
rnacentral:rRNA from 1 species